rnacentral:rRNA from 1 species
GUCUUUUUGGUUAUUUAUUUUAAGUCAGGCCUGCCCAAUGAUAAAUAUUUAAUGGCUGCAGUAUUUUAACUGUACGAAGGUAGCAUAAUCAUUUGUUUAAUAAUUUUAGACUAGUAUGAAUGGUUAUAUAAGAAUUAAUCUUUCUUAUUUAUAUAAAUAAGAAAUUAUUUUUUAAGUUAAAAAUCUUAAAUUUUUUUAUAGGACGAGAAGACCCUAUAGAACUUUAUAAAUGUAAUAUAUAUAUUAUAUUACAUUUAUUAUAUUGGGGUGAUAUUAAUUUUUUUUUAACAAUUAUGUUUUUAUUCAAUAAUUAUUGAACAAAUGAUCCGAUUUUUUUGAUUAUAAGAUCAAGUUACCUUAGGGAUAACAGCGUGAUUUAUUUGGAGAGUCCUUAUCGAUAAAUUAAGUUUGCGA